rnacentral:rRNA from 1 species
GAUUGAACGCUGGCGGCAGGCCUAACACAUGCAAGUCGAGCGGAUGAAGGGAGCUUGCUCCUGGAUUCAGCGGCGGACGGGUGAGUAAUGCCUAGGAAUCUGCCUGGUAGUGGGGGAUAACGUCCGGAAACGGGCGCUAAUACCGCAUACGUCCUGAGGGAGAAAGUGGGGGAUCUUCGGACCUCACGCUAUCAGAUGAGCCUAGGUCGGAUUAGCUAGUUAGUGGGGUAAAGGCCUACCAAGGCGACGAUCCGUAACUGGUCUGAGAGGAUGAUCAGUCACACUGGAGCUGAGACACGGUCCAGACUCCUACGGGAGGCAGCAGUGGGGAAUAUUGGACAAUGGGCGAAAGCCUGAUCCAGCCAUGCCGCGUGUGUGAAGAAGGUCUUCGGAUUGUAAAGCACUUUAAGUUGGGAGGAAGGGCAGUAAGUUAAUACCUUGCUGUUUUGACGUUACCAACAGAAUAAGCACCGGCUAACUUCGUG